CAGCACCAGCACCAGCACCAAAGGGAACUCCUGCCCGGUACCUGCCAGGCUGCAGCUCCUGAGAAAAGGGCCUAGCCGGUGCAAAGGGGCUGAAGGGGAAAUGGCCCAGGGAGAGAGAUGGACAAGGGGAGAGAAGAAGGGCGGGCAGGAAGGCUGCUGCCAAAGGGUCCCUGCAUCGGGACCCAGAGUAGAGGGCAGGCCUGGGUCACCCCCUUGCACUUACACCUGGCCAUUAGGAGUAGCCAUCAUGGACUGCACCAGACCUCUGCCAAAAUGGGUUGGACUUUGGGGUGUGUUGGCCAUUGUGGCUGGGGUGAAGAGAAGAACUGCUGCUAACACCCUUCUGCCCCCAGAAGGGGGUGAGCGUGGACUAUGGGGCACUGCCGGAGGGCAGUGUCCUGAUGAGGAUGCUGUGAGAAGGAAGCAACGCAGGUCCAGAUGCCAACAGAGGGCGAGAGAUGGAUGGGACACCACCAGCGGAGGGUGUACUGCAAGGACUGAGCUAAUUCCCAGAGGUACCAACAGGAGGUGCUGCGGUGCAGCAGGAACGACUCCCCCUUCUGAGGAGUGGAAGUUGCCUGGCUUUUUCCUCAGCUUCUGAUGCCUCUUGGAGUCAGACCUGGUCUCCAGAUUCUGGUGCAGGAACUAGGGGUGCACGGGAUGCUGCAGAACCCCUACUCCAGGCUCCCAGCCACCAGCCCUGCACACCUGAGGCUCUGCUGCUGGCCCCACGCACCCAGGGUCCCAGCUAUUGCCCUGUACACCCCUUUCAGCAACCCCACUCUUCAAAGGGUCCAGCGCCACUGCCUGUGUUAUUCAGGAGGUUGAAGAGAUUGACAGUGGUUCCUUCUGGCCUGAGAAAUCUGUGAAUCUAUAGUACAAUGAAGUGCUGUGACACACUCCCUGGGAUGCCACCUGGGCUGUGGGACUGCUGAGCCCUUCAAACACACCACCCUGGGCUGCCUCUCGCAUUGCGUUGCUGAUGCCAAGCUACAAACCUGUGACAGGCCCACAGCCAUCCACAGGCAGAGAUGCAUCCAACUGAGUUACAUGAGUGACUGGAAAUCGUUCAUGUACCAUCAGUAGAGGUUCUGACCAGUUUCCCCCCCAGCUCCAGCCCUACACCCCAGGACUGCACCGUCUUGCACUGCUCAAG